rnacentral:RNase_P_RNA from 1 species
GCUACAGGCCAGGUCUUCGACUCCUUUUGGAGUAGGAAAGUCCGGACAGCAAAGUGCAGUGCACCGGUGAAAAGCCGGGCGUCAGUUUACUGACGACAGCAAGUGCCACAGAAAAUAACUGCCUUUAGCAAUAAAGGUGAGGAUGAAAACGUGGGGUAAGAGCCCACGGCUCUUGAUGGUAACAUCAAGAGCGGGUAAACCUUGCACGCUGAAAUGCCACGUAUAGUAACCAUUGAGGGCUGCACGCCUGAAUGCUGAAAAGCUUGGUUACAGGGUAGGCAGCUUGACCGAUGAGGUAACUCAUUUGGCAGAUAAAUGAAGGCCCACGACAGAAUCCGGCUUACAGGCCUGUAGUUUUU